rnacentral:rRNA from 1 species
CCUACGGGAGGCUGCAGUGGGGAAUAUUGGACAAUGGGCGAAAGCCUGAUCCAGCCAUGCCGCGUGUGUGAAGAAGGCCUUCGGGUUGUAAAGCACUUUCAGUGGGGAAGAAAGCCUUGGGGCUAAUACCCUCGAGGAAGGACAUCACCCACAGAAGAAGCACCGGCUAACUCCGUGCCAGCAGCCGCGGUAAUACGGAGGGUGCGAGCGUUAAUCGGAAUUACUGGGCGUAAAGCGCGCGUAGGCGGUCUGAUAAGCCGGUUGUGAAAGCCCCGGGCUCAACCUGGGAACGGCAUCCGGAACUGUCAAGCUAGAGUGCAGGAGAGGAAGGUAGAAUUCCCGGUGUAGCGGGGAAAUGCGUAGAGAUCGGGAGGAAUACCAGUGGCGAAGGCGGCCUUCUGGACUGACACUGACGCUGAGGUGCGAAAGCGUGGGUAGCAAACAGGAUUAGAUACCCCUGUAGUC